rnacentral:rRNA from 1 species
UACGGAGGGAGCUAGCGUUGUUCGGAAUUACUGGGCGUAAAGCGCACGUAGGCGGCUUUGUAAGUUAGAGGUGAAAGCCCGGGGCUCAACUCCGGAACUGCCUUUAAGACUGCAUCGCUUGAAUCCAGGAGAGGUGAGUGGAAUUCCGAGUGUAGAGGUGAAAUUCGUAGAUAUUCGGAAGAACACCAGUGGCGGAAGGCGGCUCACUGGCCCGGUACUGACGCUGAGGUGCGAAAGCGUGGGGAGCAAACAGG